rnacentral:rRNA from 1 species
GACGAACGCUGGCGGCGUGCUUAACACAUGCAAGUCGAACGGAAAGGCCCUGCUUUUGUGGGGUGCUCGAGUGGCGAACGGGUGAGUAACACGUGAGUAACCUGCCCUUGACUUUGGGAUAACUUCAGGAAACUGGGGCUAAUACCGGAUAGGAGCUCCUGCUGCAUGGUGGGGGCUGGAAAGUUUCGGCGGUUGGGGAUGGACUCGCGGCUUAUCAGCUUGUUGGUGGGGUAGUGGCUUACCAAGGCUUGGAAGGGUAGCCGGCCUGAGAGGGUGACCGGCCACACUGGGACUGAGAUACGGCCCAGACUGCUACGGGCGGGAGGAGUGGGGAAGGUAGCACGAAGGGCGGAAGCCAGAUGGAGCAACGCAGGGUGCGGGAUGGGGCCAUCGGGUUGUGAACCGCUUUCGCCUGUGACGAGACGUGAGUGACGGUAAUGGGUAAAGAAGCACCGGCUAACUACGUG